GACUGGAGGCCCGAACCCACUUAUGUUGAAAAAUGAGGGGAUGAGCUGUGGAUCGGAGUGAAAGGCUAAUCAAGCCCGGAGAUAGCUGGUUCUCCUCGAAAUCUAUUUAGGUAGAGCCUCAUGUAUCACUCUAGGGGGUAGAGCACUGUUAUGGCUAGGGGGUCAUCCCGACUUACCAACCCGAUGCAAACUCCGAAUACCUGUGAGUGCAAUCACGGCAGACAGACAGCGGGUGCUAACGUCCGUUGUCGAAAGGGCAACAACCCAGACCGCCAGCUAAGGUCCCAAAUUUAUAGUUAAGUGGGAAACGAUGUGGGAAGGCUCAGACAGCUAGGAGGUUGGCUUAGAAGCAGCCACCCUUUAAAG
rnacentral:rRNA from 1 species